rnacentral:rRNA from 1 species
UAGGGAAUCUACCGCAAUGGGCGAAAGCCUGACGGAGCAACGCCGCGUGAGUGAUGAAGGUCUUCGGAUCGUAAAACUCUGUUAUUAGGGAAGAACAAAUGUGUAAGUAACUAUGCACGUCUUGACGGUACCUAAUCAGAAAGCCACGGCUAACUACGUGCCAGCAGCCGCGGUAAUACGUAGGUGGCAAGCGUUAUCCGGAAUUAUUGGGCGUAAAGCGCGCGUAGGCGGUUUUUUAAGUCUGAUGUGAAAGCCCACGGCUCAACCGUGGAGGGUCAUUGGAAACUGGAAAACUUGAGUGCAGAAGAGGAAAGUGGAAUUCCAUGUGUAGCGGUGAAAUGCGCAGAGAUAUGGAGGAACACCAGUGGCGAAGGCGACUUUCUGGUCUGUAACUGACGCUGAUGUGCGAAAGCGUGGGGAUCAAACAGG